rnacentral:rRNA from 1 species
AGUAGUCGUGGUAAUUCCAACUCCAAUAGCGUAUAUUAAAGUUGUUGCAGUUAAAAAGCUCGUAGUUGAAUUUCGGGAUCAAUACGUCGGUCGUGCCUAGGUAUGCACUGGCGUCAUUGAUUUCUCCCUUCUGACGAACCAUGAUGUCAUUAAUUUGAUGUCAUGGGGGGUCAGGACUGUUACCUUGAAAAAUUAGAGUGUUUAAAGCAGGCUCACGCUUGAAUACAUUAGCAUGGAAUAAUAAAAUAGGACGUUUGAACCUAUUUUGUUGGUUUCUAGGAUCAACGUAAUGAUUAAUAGGGAUAGUUGGGGGCAUUAGUAUUCAAUUGUCAGAGGUGAAAUUCUUGGAUUUAUUGAAGACUAACUACUGCGAAAG